GAACGGGUGAGUAACACGUGGGUGAUCUGCCUUGCACUCUGGGAUAAGCUUGGGAAACUGGGUCUAAUACCGGAUAGGAACCGUCUUUAGUGUGGUGGUUGGAAAGUUUUUUCGGUGCAAGAUGAGCUCGCGGCCUAUCAGCUUGUUGGUGGGGUAAUGGCCUACCAAGGCGCGACGGGUAGCCGGCCUGAGAGGGUGACGGCCACAUUGGGACUGAGAUACGGCCCAG
rnacentral:rRNA from 1 species